AAAAAAAAAAAAAAAACCUUAAUCUUAAAAGUUAAUGUGUGACAUAGACAGAUAAUGCUGCCUUUCCCUCGUACAGAAAUAGAGAAAUGGGUGAAAAAUGAGGCCCUUCCAGGGUACUUCCACCUAGGGGAUGUGGGGCAUUUUCCCUUGAGCCUUGCAAGUUUCCGUUCCCUUUAUAAUCAACACUGCAUCUCUGAUGAGAUCAUGGAUGCCAUGUUUUAUCUGAAAGGAAAGCAUGAUCAAACAUGUGUCCUGACAUCACAUGUAAUUACCAAUAU